rnacentral:rRNA from 1 species
UACGGAGGGGGCUAGCGUUGUUCGGAAUUACUGGGCGUAAAGCGCGCGUAGGCGGCUUUGUAAGUCAGAGGUGAAAGCCUGGAGCUCAACUCCAGAACUGCCUUUGAAACUAGAUAGCUAGAAUCUUGGAGAGGUGAGUGGAAUUCCGAGUGUAGAGGUGAAAUUCGUAGAUAUUCGGAAGAACACCAGUGGCGAAGGCGACUCACUGGACAAGUAUUGACGCUGAGGUACGAAAGCGUGGGGAGCAAACAGG